CAAUAGCGUAUAUUAAAGUUGUUGCGGUAAAAAAGCUCGUAGUUGGAUUUCUACCGAAGAUAGCCGGUCGGGUCUUCGACCUUGUAUCUGGUUUUGUCUUUGGUAUCCUCAUAGGGAACGUUUCUGCGCUUUAUUGCGUGGUGCGGUAUCUAUGACUUUUACUUUGAGGAAAUUAGAGUGUUCACGGCAGGCAAACGCCUUGAAUAUAUUAGCAUGGAAUAAUAACAUAGGAUCUUCGUCCUAUUUUGUUGGUUUCUAGGGCUAAGAUAAUGAUUAAUAGGGAUAAUUGGGGGCAUCUGUAUCAACGCGUCAGAGGUGGAAUUCUUGGAUUGCGUUGCGACAAACUACCGCGAAAGCAUUUGCCAAGGAUGUUUUCAUUGA
rnacentral:rRNA from 1 species